rnacentral:rRNA from 1 species
UACAGAGGUGCCAAGCGUUGUUCGGAUUUAUUGGGCGUAAAGGGUGCGUAGGUGGCAUGGUAAGUCGGAUGUGAAAUCCCGGGGCUCAACCCCGGAACUGCAUUCGAUACUGCUGCGCUAGAGUACUGGAGAGGAGAUUGGAAUUUACGGUGUAGCAGUGAAAUGCGUAGAUAUCGUAAGGAAGACCAGUGGCGAAGGCGGAUCUCUGGACAGUUACUGACACUGAGGCACGAAGGCCAGGGGAGCAAACGGG